GCAGGUUUCGUCUAAUCCGUGAUCUCGAAGAAUUCCUUCGGAGUGUUCCAAGCCUCGAUCAGUGCUCGUGCGCGCACGUGAGCGGCAUCAUGGCCCAGCGCCACCAGUUUCGCCGACGGGGGAGCCUGCUAGAGGACGUGCAGGCGCCCGCCUUCAACCUGGUGAUAUGCCUGGUAGUCGCCGUCAUCCUUAUCGCACUGUUGGUGGCCGUGAUCUGCAAGAAGUACGUCUCCCAGGCAGACCAGAGGCCCUCGCGACCUGACCUGCGGGGCAAUCGUGCCGGCAUCCAGACCCCCCUGGGCAGAGGAAUGCCUCGGCAGGACGCGAACGAGUGCCGCUCGCCCCUGUGCGACUGGAACGCCGGUUACAUCUUCUCCAAGGUGGAGCAAAAUAAUAGACCCUGCGACGAUUUCUACGUGCACGUCUG
rnacentral:lncRNA from 1 species